UACGUAGGGGUCGAGCGUUGUCCGGAUUUAUUGGGCGUAAAGGGUGGGCAGGUGGUCGGUGAUGUGCCGUGUGAGAGCGCCGAAGUAAUGUCGGCGAGGUCGGGGUAGACACAUCGACUUGAGGCAGUGAGGGGGCAGUGGAAUUCCCGGUGUAGUGGUGAAAUGCGUAGAUAUCGGGAGGAACACCAGUGGCGCAAGCGGCUGCCUGGCACUGACCUGACACUGAGCCACGACGGCGUGGGGAGCAAACGGG
rnacentral:rRNA from 1 species